rnacentral:rRNA from 1 species
CUUGAACGCUGGCGGAAUGCUUUACACAUGCAAGUCGAGCGGCAGCGCGGGGCAACCUGGCGGCGAGCGGCGAACGGGUGAGUAAUGCAUCGGAACAUGUCCAUUCGUGGGGGAUAGCCCGGCGAAAGCCGGAUUAAUACCGCAUACGCCCUGAGGGGGAAAGUGGGGGACCGCAAGGCCUCACGCGAUUGGGUUGGCCGAUGUCCGAUUAGCUAGUUGGCGGGGUAAAGGCCCACCAAGGCGAUGAUCGGUAGCUGGUCUGAGAGGAUGAUCAGCCACACUGGGACUGAGGCACGGCCCAGACUCCUACGGGAGGCAGCAGUGGGGAAUUUUGGACAAUGGGGGAAACCCUGAUCCAGCCAUUCCGCGUGAGUGAAGAAGGCCU